rnacentral:tRNA from 1 species
GCCUGGGUGGCUCAGUUGGUUGAGCGUCUGACUCUUGGUCUCAGCUCAGGUCUUGAUCUCAGGAUUGUGAGUUCAGGUCCCACAUUAGGCU